CAAGGUGGACUCGAUGGACUAAUCAAACUUUCAUCUAUAUUUUCUGAAGACCCAUCUGUGCUACAAGAGGUACAUUGAGAGAUGAGUUGUGCCAGACUUAAAGUUGAAUACAUAGGAUAAGACAGAUUGCUAUGCACUUGCAAAUCUAUUACUUUGUUUUAUGAGAAAUGCAAAAGGGACCAGCCUGAACUGUCAUAUAAGCCUUUUUAACAUGUAUGGUGAUCUAUUUAGCCUUUUAAGCAUGAUAGGCUAUCCUUAGGUAACUGUUGCAUUAACUGUAUACUCUGUACUGAUUUUUCUCUUUA